GGACCUAGACAGUGUUUUAAAAAGCAGAGACAUCACUUUGCCAACAAAGGCCCAUAUAGUCAAAGCUAUGAUUUUUCCAGUAGUCAUGUACCAAUGUGAGAUUUGGACCAUAAAGAUGGCUGAAUGACAAAGAAUUGGUGCUAUCUAACUGUGGUGCUGGGAAA